rnacentral:misc_RNA from 1 species
GAUGAAGAACGUAGCGAAUUGCGAUAAGUAAUGUGAAUUGCAGAAUUCAGUGAAUCAUCGAAUCUUUGAACGCACAUUGCGCCCCUUGGUAUCCCGAGGGGCAUGCCUGUUCUAGCGUCAUUUCACCACUCAAGCCUGGCUUGGUGUUGGGCGACGUCCCCUUUAGGGACGCGCCUCGAAACGCUCGGCGGCGUGGCACCGGCUUUAAGCGUAGCAGAAUCUUUCGCUUUGGAAGUCGGGGCCCCGCCUGCCGGAAUACCUACUCGUAAGGUUGACCUCGGAUCAGGCAGGGAUACCCGCUGAACUUAAGCAUAUCAAUAAGCGGAGGA